CGAGACCUCAGGUCAGGCGGGACUACCCGCUGAGUUUAAGCAUAUCAAUAAGCGGAGGAAAAGAAACUAACAAGGAUUCCCCUAGUAACGGCGAGCGA
rnacentral:rRNA from 9 species